rnacentral:rRNA from 1 species
AGGACGAACGCUGGCGGCGUGCUUAACACAUGCAAGUCGAACGGUGACGGAGAGCUUGCUCUCCUGAUCAGUGGCGAACGGGUGAGUAACACGUGGGCAACCUGCCCCAGACUUCGGGAUAACGCUUCGAAAGAGGUGCUAAUACCGAAUACGAACCUCCCUGGCAUCUGGGAGGUUGGAAAGUUUUUCGGUCUGGGAUGGGCCCGCGGCCUAUCAGCUUGUUGGUGAGGUAACGGCUCACCAAGGCGACGACGGGUAGCCGGGCCUGAGAGGGCGACCGGCCACACUGGGACUGAGACACGGCCCAGACUCCUACGGGAGGCAGCAGUGGGGAAUAUUGCGCAAUGGGCGAAAGCCUGACGCAGCAACGCCGCGUGAGGGAUGACGGCCUUCGGGUUGUAAACCUCUUUCAGCAGGGAAGAAGCGAAAGUGACGGUACCUGCAGAAGAAGCACCGGCUAACUACGUG